rnacentral:lncRNA from 1 species
ACAUAAGAAAGUCAAUUAGCGGAUACCAAAAAUGGUUCAGGAAAAUUAUAGUAUGUCACUGACGUCAUUUCCGGUGUAUUAUCGCAAUUUAAUUUUCGUUUUUAAGGACAAUUUACUUUCACUAUUUAACGACGGUUGAGAAUGUACGUUAUAACUGCAACCCGAUCUGAUUUAAUUGACAGCUAGCUGUGGUUGAAUCGAACCAAAAGCCAAGAAGAAAUUGGACAUGGAGAAAUACAAAAUAUCAGAUGACAUUGGCAUAAUGAUCAUUUCUCCAUCAAGCACAUCAUCAAUAUUGAAUUGUCUUCUAAAGACUAAAGGAAUGUGCUAUACAGAAUAGAUCUAAUAUUGUUUCCAUAAAUGUAUGGUGAAGAGCUAUAUUUCUCUACUUCACUGCCUGGAUUGUGUGCAACAUAAAUUUGUAAAUAAAUUUGAAGAAAUUUACAAAGUAAUUUGCUGCUUCUUCAGAUAUCAGUGAGGAUUGCAGAUGAUGGAAAAUCUAACAGAAGGAAAUAUUUGUAACAAAUAUAAGAGCAAAAACAAGAAAUCUAUGUGUAUAUUGUGAAAGAAGAGAGAUAAAGGAAAAUUAAUUAAUGUGAAGAACUUCAAAAGGGUUGAUUUUAUUAGAAGAGAUGCUGAAAGUGGUAAAAAAGACACCAUUUCUGUGUGACAUUUGUAAUAAGACAUUCUCUCAACAAGGGAACUUAACUAUCCAUAAACGUAUUCAUGCAACACAGAAACCAUUUCACUGUGAAAUCUGUGGCAAGUCGUUUGCUCAGAAAGGUGACUUAGCCACUCACAAACGUAUUCAUACAGGAGAGAAACCAUAUCGUUGCGAUAUAUGUGGUAAAUCAUUCUCUGUGAGGGGUGC